CCUAGGGGAGGCAGCAGUGAGGAAUAUUGGUCAAUGGACGUAAGUCUGAACCAGCCAAGUAGCGUGCAGGACGAAGGCCCUAUGGGUUGUAAACUGCUUUUAUGCGGGGGUAAAGUGAGUGACGUGUCAUUCAUUGCAAGUACCGCAAGAAUAAGGACCGGCUAAUUCCGUGCCAGCAGCCGCGGUAAU
rnacentral:rRNA from 1 species